ACGGCGAGUGAAGCGGCAAGAGCUCAAAUUUGAAAGCUGGCUCCUUCGGGGCCCGCAUUGUAAUUUGCAGAGGAUGCUUCGGGAGCGGUCCCCAUCUAAGUUCCCUGGAACGGGACGUCAUAGAGGGUGAGAAUCCCGUAUGGGAUGGGGUGUCCGCGCCCGUGUGAAGCUCCUUCGACGAGUCGAGUUGUUUGGGAAUGCAGCUCUAAAUGGGUGGUAAAUUUCAUCUAAAGCUAAAUAUUGGCCGGAGACCGAUAGCGCACAAGUAGAGUGAUCGAAAGAUGAAAAGCACUUUGAAAAGAGAGUUAAAAAGCACGUGAAAUUGUUGAAAGGGAAGCGCUUGCGACCAGACUCGCUCGCGGGGUUCAGCCGGCAUUCGUGCCGGUGUACUUCCCCGCGGGCGGGCCAGCGUCGGUUUGGGCGGUCGGUCAAAGGCCCUCGGAAGGUAACGCCCCCUCGGGGGCGUCUUAUAGCCGAGGGUGCAAUGCGACCUGCCCGGACCGAGGAACGCGCUUCGGCUCGGAC
rnacentral:rRNA from 1 species